CCUACGGGGUGCAGCAGUGAGGAAUAUUGGUCAAUGGACGAGAGUCUGAACCAGCCAAGUAGCGUGAAGGAUGACUGCCCUAUGGGUUGUAAACUUCUUUUAUAUGGGAAUAAAAUGUUCCACGUGUGGGAUUUUGUAUGUACCAUAUGAAUAAGGAUCGGCUAACUCCGUGCCAGCAGCCGCGGUAAUACGGAGGAUCCGAGUGUUAUCCGGAUUUAUUGGGGUUAAAGGGAGCGUAGGUGGAUUGUUCAGUCAGUUGUGAAAGUUUGCGGCUCAACCGUAAAAUUGCAUUUGAAACUGGCAGUCUUGAGUACAUGAUAAGUGUGAGGAAUUCGUGGUGUAGCGGUGACAUGCUUAGAUAUCACGAAGAACUCCGAUUGCGAAGGCAGUUCACUGGACUGCAACUGACACUGAGGCUCGAAAGUGUGGGUAUCAAACAGGAUUAGAUACCCCAGUAGUC
rnacentral:rRNA from 1 species